rnacentral:rRNA from 1 species
AUUCCAGCUCCAAUAGCGUAUAUUUAAGUUGUUGCAGUUAAAAAGCUCGUAGUUGGAUUUCGGGUGUCAUCUGCCGGUCCGCCGUUUCGGUGUGCACUGGCGGGCGUCAUCUUUCUGUCGAGGACGCGCUCCUGUCCUUUAUUGGUCGGGACGCGGAGUCGGCGAGGUUACUUUGAAAAAAUUAGAGUGUUCAAAGCGGGCUUACGCUUGAAUAUAUUAGCAUGGAAUAACACUAUAGGACUCCUGUUCUAUUUUGUUGGUCUUCGGGACGGGAGUAAUGAUUAAGAGGAACAGUUGGGGGCAUUCGUAUUUCAUUGUCAGAGGUGAAAUUCUUGGAUUUAUGAAAGACGAACUUCUGCGAAAGCAUUUGCCAAGGAUGUUUUCAUUG